AAAACAGCAAACUUGGAGUAGUGAAUGUCAUUUCAAGUGGGAAGGUUUCUUCAUUCUGUCUCAGAUACUAUCCUCAAUUCAAGGAACUGCCCCAAGACAAGUCGGAAGCGAAAAGCGACCGACCCGUGGCGAACAUGGCGGCGCAGGACGGAUGCCAGCCGCUGCACGGAAUCAACCUGACCGGGGCAGUGGUGUUUAUUAACGACAGCAGCCGCUGUCCUCUCGAGACAGUAGCUCGAAACUACGGCAACACCAGCGCCUAUGCGCUAGUCGUUGGCCUCUCGGACAACAGGCUCGACGACGCCGUUUACGAAAGGACAUCAUCGGAACAGCUAGAUAUAGCUGUGGGAUUCGUCAGCAGGCGGAGUUUCAUAACUGUGUUG